AUAAGAUUAGUUUAAAUAAAACAUAAAGUUUCGACCUUUAAAUUCUUAAUAUUAAGGUCUUAUU
rnacentral:tRNA from 1 species